GUAGUCCCGGCCGUAAACUAUGGGUACUAGGUGUAGGGGGUAUCGACUCCCCCUGUGCCGUCGUUAACACAAUAAGUACCCCGCCUGGGGAGUACGGUCGCAAGACUAAAACUCAAAGGAAUUGACGGGGGCCCGCACAAGCAGCGGAGCAUGUGGUUUAAUUCGAAGCAACGCGAAGAACCUUACCUAGACUUGACAUCUCCUGAAUUACCCUUAACCGGGGAAGCCCUUCGGGGCAGGAAGACAGGUGGUGCAUGGUUGUCGUCAGCUCGUGUCGUGAGAUGUUGGGUUAAGUCCCGCAACGAGCGCAACCCUUAUUUUUAGUUGCUACCAUUUGGUUGAGCACUCUAAAGAGACUGCCCGGGUUAACCGGGAGGAAGGUGGGGAUGACGUCAAAUCAUCAUGCCCCUUAUGUCUAGGGCUACACACGUGCUACAAUGGUGAGGACAAAGAGACGCGAGACCGCGAGGUGGAGCAAAUCUCACAAACCUCAUCCCAGUUCGGAUUGCAGGCUGAAACUCGCCUGCAUGAAGCCGGAGUUGCUAGUAAUCGCGAAUCAGCAUGUCGCGGUGAAUACGUUCCCGGGCCUUGUACACACCGCCCGUCACACCAUGAGAGUUGGCAAUACCCGAAGUCCGUGGGGUAACCUGUAAAGGAGCCAGCGGCCGAAGGUAGGGUCAGCGAUUGGGGUGAAGUCGUAACAAGGUAGCCGUAGGAGAACCUGCGGCUGGAUCACCUCC
rnacentral:rRNA from 1 species